AUUGAACGCUGGCGGCAUGCUUUACACAUGCAAGUCGGACGGCAGCGGGGUAGUGCUUGCACUACUGCCGGCGAGUGGCGAACGGGUGAGUAAUAUAUUGGAACGUACCGAGUAAUGGGGGAUAACCAAUCGAAAGAUUGGCUAAUACCGCAUACGCUCUGAGGAGGAAAGCAGGGGACCUUCGGGCCUUGCGUUAUUCGAGCGGCCAAUAUCUGAUUAGCUAGUUGGUGGGGUAAGGGCCUACCAAGGCGACGAUCAGUAGCGGGUCUGAGAGGAUGAUCCGCCACACUGGGACUGAGAAACGGCCCAGACUCCUACGGGAGGCAGCAGUGGGGAAUUUUGGACAAUGGGCGCAAGCCUGAUCCAGCCAUGCCGCGUGUCUGAAGAAGGCCUUCGGGUUGUAAAGGACUUUUGUUAGGGAAGAAAAAGGAGCGGUUAAUACCCGUUUCUGCUGACGGUACCUAAAGAAUAAGCACCGGCUAACUACGUG
rnacentral:rRNA from 1 species